CAGAUUGCGAGUGCCCGGUGGCUGCGUAAAAAAAUUCUUGAUUAUUUGUGCAAAAUUUUAAUCUCUGAUGAAAGAGUGCAUAUAAUGUUUGACUCUGCUAAUCAGUUUUGAGUUUUCUUAGGAGCCAUGUGUCUCUUGCCUUAGGAGCUAUGUGUUUCUUAGCCCAAGUUUCGUCCUUAGAAUAUAACUGUCUUGUUUGUGUUGGGCAGGUGAAGGGUAAUAGCCCAACUGCGCUUUUUAAUUGACUUGCCUGCUGUCGCUGUGGUGUAGUGGAAUACGACAAUGAGGAAGGCACAUCCAUGAAGCUCUGCGGGGUCGUUGUGAAUUGCUAAAUUGAUGAGCCUAAAAAGAGGGAACUGAAAGCGACCAAUCAAGGGGAUUUGUUUGCAUUUCUAAUGCACUUGAAUGUAGUUCUGAGUCAGAUGUCUAUCGCAAUCAGGAAAGACCAAGUAAACGUGAAAUAUGAAUCAGGUGGAGUUUAGUUGCAUUCGAUUUGCUGUUCUGAUGUCGUUGAGCUGCAGUGGAUGUGGAUACGAGGAGUUGGACAGACCUUGAACUCUAUUGUUGGCCAUCACAUCGGGACGUAUGAUUGUUAACGGCAGUGCUGAGGUUGAUGAGAGAGAGUUCAGAAACAAGGGAACAAUGGCCAUGAAACUUGAGAUAGACAAGAAGCAGUAUCUAGUGGAUGAACCCUUUUAAGUGGAAAUUGCUGAGAUUGUGCCCAUUCACUCACUGAAAG